rnacentral:rRNA from 1 species
AGAGUUUGAUCCUGGCUCAGGACGAACGCUGGCGGCGUGCUUAACACAUGCAAGUGGAGCGACGAACCAGGGCUUGCCCUGGGGCAGAGCCGCGAACGGGUGAGUAACACGUGGGUUACCUGCCUCGAUGACCGGGACAACCCGAGGAAACUCGGGCUAAUACCGGAUGUGCCCGCAAGGGGAAAGGAAGCUUCGGCCUCCGCAUCGAGAUGGGCCCGCGGCCCAUUAGCUUGUUGGUGAGGUAACGGCUCACCAAGGCUUCGAUGGGUAGCUGGUCUGAGAGGACGAUCAGCCACACUGGGACUGAGACACGGCCCAGACUCCUACGGGAGGCAGCAGUGGGGAAUCUUGCGCAAUGCGCGAAAGCGUGACGCAGCAACGCCGCGUGGGGGAAGAAGGCUUUCGGGUUGUAAACCCCUUUCAGUUGGGACGAAGCUUCUCCGGUGAAUAGCCGGACGGAGUGACGGUACCUUCACAAGAAGCACCGGCUAACUACGUGCCAGCAGCCGCGGUAAUACGUAGGGUGCAAGCGUUGUCCGGAAUUAUUGGGCGUAAAGAGCGUGUAGGCGGCCCCGUUAGUCCGCUGUGAAAGUCCAGGGCUCAACCCUGGAAUGCCGGUGGAUACUGCGGGGCUAGAGUCCGGAAGGGGCGAGUGGAAUUCCUGGUGUAGCGGUGAAAUGCGCAGAUAUCAGGAGGAACACCAAUGGCGAAGGCAGCUCGCUGGGACGUGACUGACGCUGAGACGCGAAAGCGUGGGGAGCAAACAGGAUUAGAUACCCUAGUAGUCC